UUCCCAAAGCGUCCAGAGAAUAGAAAAACAAGUUUCACAAAAAUAAUCAAGAGUUAGAACAGCACUGGACUUCUUACCAAUACCAGUGGGAACCAGAAGACAAAAGAGCAGUAUUUUGAAAACACAGAACAACUUCAAGUUUGCACUCCUAUGCCCAUACAACUGCCAAUUAAGUGUAAAAGUAGAAUACGGCCAUUUUCUGACACGUAAGAUUUCAAAAAUAUUUACUGCCAUGCUUUCUUUCACAAGAAGCUACCAGAGAAUGUACUCUACCAAAUGACCCAAACAAAAAGUUAACCAAGAAUGAGGAAAUUAUGAGUUCUAAAAACCUAAGAGAAAGGCAAAUGGAACCCCAGGAGGAAGGUCACAGCUGUGCAGCUGGCCUACUGAGCAGCCGUUCCGGGUCAUGUCAGAAGACUUGGAGGGAGAAUUCUUCAAAAAAGUAGUAUGACAGUCCUCUUAAUGUGUCUGGCUACAUUGGAUAUUGGAGGUUUACACAACUGGGGUACAAUCUGAAGGCGAAAUACAUAGAAAACAAUACAAACAAAAAGACGGAUCUUACAAGACCACCUCUUCUAAACAGGCCAACUCUUCCCUGACAGCCUUUUCACUCGACCCUUUAGCACAGGCCCUGAAGAAUGAAACCAGAUCACCUAGACCUGAAUCCCAGCACUGCAAACUGUUAGCUGUGUGACAACUGCAAGUCCUGGGACAUCUCUGUGCUUUAGUUUCCUCACAUGACAUUCAAAAAUAACAAGAAUACACACCCACGGUUUAUAUGCUUGGAGGAAGAAGUGAUUUAAUGUGUGUUGUGUACUUGCUUGGUGUGAAUUAAGGUUCAAUAUAUGUUAACGAUCAAAA